UACAGAGGGUGCGAGCGUUAAUCGGAUUUACUGGGCGUAAAGCGUGCGUAGGUGGUUUGAUAAGUCGGUUGUGAAAGCCCCGGGCUCAACCUGGGAAUUGCGGCCGAUACUGUCAGACUAGAAAACGGUAGAGGGAGGUGGAACUCCAGGUGUAGCGGUGAAAUGCGUAGAUAUCUGGAAGAACACCGAUGGCGAAGGCAGCCUCCUGGGCCUGUUUUGACACUGAGGCACGAAAGCGUGGGUAGCAAACAGG
rnacentral:rRNA from 1 species